rnacentral:lncRNA from 1 species
AUGUCGAGCAGCCGAAGGAGCACGCACUUCUGGAGCGAGGAGGAGACGGCUUUCCUCCUGCAGACUCUGAAGGAGAUGAACAUCGACCGCUACAGAGACGGACGCAAGCACCGCAACAGCCUGAUCUUCCGGAGGGUCUGCGCGCGGCACAAGGAGGCGGGCUUCACGCGCUCCUGCGACCAGGUCAAGCACCGCUGGAAAACACUCAAGUCCAUCUACUACAAGGCCAAGAAGCAGAGCAGCAGCAGCUCUAACGCGGCCUUCAAACACUUCGACACGAUGGAGGAAAUCUUCGGACACAGACCUGUGGCUGUCAGCACCGACACCGAGCCCGACAGCAAGGGCUUCACCUUCGAGGAUGGAGAGGAGGAGGAAGAUGAGGGCGUGCUGAAGCGCAGGCGGUCGUGUUGUGCUGCGCUGCACAGUCAGUAUCAGGGCUUUCUGGAGAGACUGCAGCGGAGCCAGAACACAUGGCUGGAGCGCCAGCUGGAGCAGAGUCACCUCCGAGAGGAGCGUCUGAUCGCCCGAGUGCUGGCCGAACAUAGCCGGUCCAUGGAGGCCUUAGUCAGCCAGCUCUUCUCAGGCUUGAGGAGCCUCCUGCCCUCGUCUCCGCUCAGCACACAGCCUGACGCCAGCCCAGCGCAGAGCAGGACUGAGUCCUGAAUCACACACACACAGCUCUCAGAGACUCGAGGAGCACCUCACACACUCUUCAUCCUGAUGCGGUCUUCUGCAGCCCUGCACUGGUUUGUUAAAGGUAGCGAUAAUGUAGCAAUCCAGCAUCUGUUUAACACUGGUAGGUGUUUGUUAUUGUUUCAUUGUACCACAUAGCUUCUGUAAAAGUGUUCAUCAAAUGUUUAGUCAUGAAUAAAGAUGUGAGUGUGUGUGUGUGUAAUGUGAUUUUCUCAUGAGCCUCAUCGGUUUAUUUUAAAUAAACACUGAAAGUGUUUUGUGUGUAAUACAUUUCAAACAUCAAAAAAAUAUUUUUGC